rnacentral:rRNA from 1 species
ACGGAAGGCAGCAGUGAGGAAUAUUGGUCAAUGGGCGGAAGCCUGAACCAGCCAAGUCGCGUGAAGGAUGAAGGUAUUAUGUAUUGUAAACUUCUUUAGCAGUGGAGUAAUAAGGGAGUCGAGACUCCUGAUGCAAGUACACUGAAAAUAAGGAUCGGCUAACUCCGUGCCAGCAGCCGCGGUAAUACGGAGGAUCCGAGCGUUAUCCGGAUUUAUUGGGUUUAAAGGGUGCGCAGGCGGCCCUGUAAGUCAGCGGUUAAAUCGUGGAGCUCAACUCCAUCCCGCCGUUGAUACUGCAGGGCUUGAGUGCGGUCGAGGUUGGCGGAAUUCGUCGUGUAGCGGUGAAAUGCAUAGAUAUGACGAAGAACACCGAUUGCGUAGGCAGCUGACCAGGCCGUAAAUGACGCUCAUGCACGAAAGUGCGGGGAUCGAACAGGAUUAGAUACCCUGGUA